AUUGAACGCUGGCGGCAUGCUUUACACAUGCAAGUCGAACGGUAACAGGCCUUCGGGUGCUGACGAGUGGCGCACGGGUGAGUAAUGCAUCGGAACGUGCCCAGCGGUGGGGGAUAACGCAGCGAAAGCUGUGCUAAUACCGCAUGUGAUCUGAGGAUGAAAGCGGGGGACCUGGCAGCAAUGUUUGGCCUCGCGCCUUUGGAGCGGCCGAUGUCAGAUUAGGUAGUUGGUGGGGUAAAGGCCUACCAAGCCGACGAUCUGUAGCUGGUCUGAGAGGACGAACAGCCACACUGGGACUGAGACACGGCCCAGACUCCUACGGGAGGCAGCAGUGGGGAAUUUUGGACAAUGGGCGCAAGCCUGAUCCAGCAAUGCCGCGUGCGGGAAGAAGGACUUCGGGUUGUAAACCGCUUUUGUACGGAACGAAAAGGCUCUGGCUAAUACCUGGGGCUGAUGACGGUACCGUAAGAAUAAGCACCGGCUAACUACGUG
rnacentral:rRNA from 1 species